AAUAAGACGCCUGACGAAAGGAUUAUCUUGAUAGGAUAAAUAAUGUAGAGUAUUCUACUCUUAUUA
rnacentral:tRNA from 1 species